CACAUUAGAGUUUUAGGAAUAACUACUUUGGGUGUAGUAGGAGUUUGUGUGA
rnacentral:tRNA from 1 species